CCAAGGUGAGCAUUUCAAAGUACGGAAGAAUAGGGAAUAUUUUGGCAUUCCACAAGCACUUUUCCUGAGUUUUUUCUGCAGUCCACAGAUCAUUAUCUUGAAUGCCUAGAUCAUCUAAGACCUUCCUCCAGGGUUUCCCACAAAAGGUCCCAUUUGAGUAGAUCAUUAUCUUGAAUGCCAAGAUCAUCUAAGACCUUCCUCCAGGGUUUCCCACAAAAGGUCCCAUUUGAAAGUGGAAUCUUUGGGUUAUCAUGGAGACCACAGUACACAAUAACUCUCUCAGCGCGUCCCACUAAAGGAACCUCCCAAAAGCAGUGACGAUCCGGAAGCAUAAAUCUAAAUGAAACCUUUGCUGUCAUAUC
rnacentral:lncRNA from 1 species